GAACCGAGGAAGGGGGUACAGGUACCGGUCCAAAAAAUAGGAACCGAGGCUAGGGAGGUACAGGUACUCGGCCCUACCCAUAUCCCGUGCCGAACUGUACCGACUGUACCGAUCAUUUGUGAUCGUUAGAUUUCUAUCUAAUCUAACGGUGGUAGAUAUCUAGUAUAUAUAGGAAUGAAGUUAGGGUUAGAAACAGAAGUGAUUCAUUUUCUUUUUCCUUCUUCUUCUUCGACUCUCUCCUGUCCCGAGUCUCCUCCUCCAUCACUGUGUUCAUAAGAACACACGUUAAACAACACCAAAUCCAUCACUGUUUGUUUGAUUAAUUCAAUAAGUUAACUAGAAGUCUAUAACAGGUAACCAAAAUUUCUUUGAUUAUGAUUAUUAUUGUGAUUCUGUGAUGUUUUUAUUAUUUUUUUUAAUUUUGAUUCUGAUUAUUAUCUUCCUUUUGUGUGUGUGUUCAGUUAAAUUUAAACUGAGGAGUGAAUUGGGUACCCGAAAUCUCGAUCUGUUUGUUAUGAAUCUUCUGAUUCCUUAAUCAUUUGAUUAGACAACGUCGACUUGGGAACAGCUUGUGGACGAUACCACCGUGUUUCAUGCCUUAGUAUCAUUGAUCCAGGUGAUUCUGAUAUCAUCAAAACCCUUCCCGGUGACCAGUAAGCGAAGAAAGCUAGCGGAUCCAAUCGAUAGAUCCAGAAUUUUUCUUGUUUGGGUUGACUCUUUUUCUAUCUAGUAUGAGUUGAGUUAUAGUGAAAUUGAAUCAGGCUAUUUCAAAUUUGUAAGUCCGAAAGAACACAUUAAUACUGAAUGUUUUUUGGUAGCUGAAUCUGAAAGUAUGUUCUUGCACUUUAUGAAUGUCGUGUGAGACUA